AAUGAACGCUGGCGGCGCGCCUAAUACAUGCAAGUCGAGCGAGAAGACGUAGCAAUACGUUUGUAAAGCGGCGAACGGGUGAGGAAUACAUGGGUAACCUACCCUCGAGUGGGGAAUAACUAGCCGAAAGGUUAGCUAAUACCGCGUACGCUCCUUGGACUUCGGUUCAGGGAGAAAGCGAUACCGUGGGUAUCGCGCUCUU
rnacentral:rRNA from 1 species